UUAUUGGAAGAUUAGAAAGCUGA
rnacentral:snRNA from 1 species